rnacentral:rRNA from 1 species
UACGGGGGGAGCAAGCGUUGUUCGGAUUUACUGGGCGUAAAGGGCGCGUAGGCGGCGCAACAAGUCACUUGUGAAAUCUCCGGGCUUAACCCGGAGCGGCCAAGUGAUACUGUCGUGCUAGAGUGCGGAAGGGGCUACUGGAAUUCUCGGUGUAGCGGUGAAAUGCGUAGAUAUCAGGAAGAACACCCGUGGCGAAGGCGGCUCUCUGGGACGGCACUGACGCUGAGACGCGAAAGCGUGGGGAGCAAACAGG